GCCUCUUGAGCUGCUUGCUUGGCCCACUCUCACUCUGUGGAGUGUACAUUUGUUUCCAUAAAUCUGUGCUUUUUUUUUCAUUGUUUUGUUUGUGCAUUUCAUCCAAUUGUUUGUUCAAAAUGCCAAGAAUCUGGACACCCUCCACCAGUAACAGGCAUUGGGAAGGGGAAGGCAGAAAAGCGGAGUGCAAAAUGAAGUGGUAGUGGGUGCUAACUAACAAGAGAACCUUUGAACACGAUGGGACAGAAAUAAGGUCAUGCAUUUUCUACUAUCUGUCACCUGUGGACAACUUGCCACUUCAACAGUUCUGGACACUUUUAAGCUCCCCCGAGGAGAAGAUAGGAAACUUGGACACCCUGUGUGGGAUUGAGAAUCACAAAGGGGCAGUCUCGCACCUGGUCAAGAUAAAGCUGAACUGAACUCUUCAUUCACAAGUGGGAUUCUCGUAAGAGGCAGGAAAGCAGGGACCGUCUGUCACUACAGACAGCAAGAAGAGGUGAACCUUAAUGAGGGAAGAAAACAGAUUCUAUUAGGGGAAAAAAACAUUUAAUCAGAAAAUAAGGCUCUGGAAAGAAAAGGCCAAUUGGGGCUUUGUCUGAAGAAAUAACAGAGUAUUUUUCUGCCAGAGAAAGCAAGUCCAAGGGAGGAAUUUUCAGAUUGACCAAAGAGUAUUGGUCUACAUCAUUAGUACUUUCAGUGAGAAAUAACUGAAAAUAAACUAGAGCAAAAGUUCCCCAGGUGUGGUUCCAGGACCAGCAACUGAAACAUCACCUGGGAACUGUUAAAAAUGCAAAUUCUUGGGCUCUCCGCCAGAAUCACUGAAUCAGAAACUCUGAAAUGGGACCCAAUAAUCAGCAGCUUAACAAGC
rnacentral:lncRNA from 1 species